rfam:Selaginella moellendorffii mitochondrial scaffold SELMOscaffold_175, whole genome shotgun sequence.
UCCUCAGUGGCUCAGUGGUAGAGCGCUCGGCUGUUAACCGAUUGGUCGUAGGUUCGAAUCCUACCUGAGGAG